rnacentral:rRNA from 1 species
CAGUAGCCGCGGGAAUACAGAGGGUGCGAGCGUUAAUCGGAUUUACUGGGCGUAAAGCGUGCGUAGGCGGCUUUUUAAGUCGGAUGUGAAAUCCCUGAGCUUAACUUAGGAAUUGCAUUCGAUACUGGGAAGCUAGAGUAUGGGAGAGGAUGGUAGAAUUCCAGGUGUAGCGGUGAAAUGCGUAGAGAUCUGGAGGAAUACCGAUGGCGAAGGCAGCCAUCUGGCCUAAUACUGACGCUGAGGUACGAAAGCAUGGGGAGCAAACAGGAUUAGAUACCCCAGUAGUCCUGUCUCUUAUACC